CCUGGCUCUAAAGGAAACUCAGAAUGACAACGGUGGCUGGAUAUUCUACCGUAGUAAUAGAACCCCUGAUUCUUUAGCUGGGCAUGUAGCUGUUCAGAGGGAAAAAAAGGCUAUUUCCCAGUUUCCUUUGCAAAGGACUGAGUGGAAGUUUUAUAUGGCGACUUCUGGAACUUUCCUUAAGUGACAGUUGGUCUCCUCUCUGCUGCUUUCAAGCCUCAAAGAUGCCAGAUUAAAAAGAAGUACGAAUGAAGAAUUAAGCAGUUUUAAAAAAAAAUGACUAGGUUUCUACCCCAACAGUGCCCCUAAAACAAUCCUGCGGGCAGAUCACUCAGGCAAGAUAACAUCUGGAGAGAGAGUCAGCCAGUCUGCAUUAAAGGGAGAAAGAUGCUGCGUUUAAUGAACGGAACCUCCUGCCUUGACGAUUCACUGAGAUUCUUCACCACCACCCCCAUUUUUCCCUUUAAAAACUGUCAUGGGGCUUCCCUGGUGGCGCAGUGGUUGAGAGUCCGCCUGCCGACGCAGGGGACGCCGGUUCGUGCCCCGGUCCGGGAAGAUCCCACAUGCCGUGGAGCGGCUGGGCCCGUGAGCCAUGGCCGCUGAGCCUGCGCGUCCGGAGCCUGUGCUCCGCAACGGGAGAGGCCACAACAGUGAGAGGCCCACGUACCGCAAAACAACAACAACCACAAAAAACUGUCAUGGUUGAGCAGAAUCUUCGGAGUUGGUCUCGACACCAUGCCACCAUCUCCCCAGAUUGCCAACUUUUCUGAUUAAAGCACGUUUCCUUUCUACUGACACUUGCCUCUUUAAUUAGUGGCUUAUAUUAAGAGCAGUGGGCAGCCGAACCUGGUUCCAUUA